GACCCUAUAGAGUUUAAUAUUUUUUUAAUAAAUUAUUUUUUAGAAUUUUAUAUUAUUUUAUUAAUAAAAUAUUUAAUUGGGGUGAUUGAAAAAUUAAAUUAACUUUUUUUAUAUAAAAACAUUGAUUUAUGAUAAUUUGAUCCAUUUUUUAUGAUUAUAAGAUUAAAUUACCUUAGGGAUAACAGCGUAAUUUUUUUAAAGAGUUCAAAUCGAAAAAAAAGAUUGCGACCUCGAUGUUGGAUUAAAAUUUAUAUUUGGUGUAGAAGCUAAAUUUAUUGGGUCUGUUCGACCUUUAAAAUUUUACAUGAUCUGA
rnacentral:rRNA from 1 species